UCUGAAAGGAGGGUGUAGCCAGGUCUGAGGAAUCACUGCAGUCUGGGUGUGUGUAGGCAGCCUCUACCCAGACAAAAGGCAGAGGAACACGUACAGCCCUGACACAGCAUUAUGUACAGCCCAACCAAAGAGCAAGUACUGGAUCUGCCUUCCGACUUGAUGGUGCUGCACUGCAGUGUAAAUACUGAAAAACCAAAGCAUUGUGUUUCAUGAGAUCACUAAGGAGGAAAGCCGUAUCACGGCUGAGAAGAGUGAUAAUUUCUUCUGCAUUAUUCUAUAC